AGAGUUUGAUCCUGGCUCAGAACGAACGCUGGCGGCAGGCUUAACACAUGCAAGUCGAGCGCCCCGCAAGGGGAGCGGCAGACGGGUGAGUAACGCGUGGGAAUCUACCUUUUGCUACGGAAUAACUCAGGGAAACUUGUGCUAAUACCGUAUGUGCCCUUCGGGGGAAAGAUUUAUCGGCAAAGGAUGAGCCCGCGUUGGAUUAGCUAGUUGGUGGGGUAAAGGCCCACCAAGGCGACGAUCCAUAGCUGGUCUGAGAGGAUGAUCAGCCACACUGGGACUGAGACACGGCCCAGACUCCUACGGGAGGCAGCAGUGGGGAAUAUUGGACAAUGGGCGCAAGCCUGAUCCAGCCAUGCCGCGAGAGUGAUGAAGGCCCUAGGGUUGUAAAGCUCUUUCACCGGUGAAGAUAAUGACGGUAACCGGAGAAGAAGCCCCGGCUAACUUCGUGCCAGCAGCCGCGGUAAA
rnacentral:rRNA from 1 species